rnacentral:rRNA from 1 species
UACGUAGGGUGCAAGCGUUAAUCGGAAUUACUGGGCGUAAAGCGUGCGCAGGCGGUUUUGUAAGUCUGACGUGAAAUCCCCGGGCUCAACCUGGGAAUUGCGUUGGAGACUGCAAGGCUGGAGUCUGGCAGAGGGGGGUAGAAUUCCACGUGUAGCAGUGAAAUGCGUAGAGAUGUGGAGGAAUACCGAUGGCGAAGGCAGCCCCCUGGGCCAAUACUGACGCUCAUGCACGAAAGCGUGGGGAGCAAACAGG